CCUACGGGAGGCUGCAGUGGGGAAUAUUGGACAAUGGGGGCAACCCUGAUCCAGCCAUGCCGCGUGUGUGAAGAAGGCCCUCGGGUUGUAAAGCACUUUCAGUGAGGAAGAACGCCUGGUGGUUAAUACCCAUCAGGAAAGACAUCACUCACAGAAGAAGCACCGGCUAACUCCGUGCCAGCAGCCGCGGUAAUACGGAGGGUGCGAGCGUUAAUCGGAAUUACUGGGCGUAAAGCGCGCGUAGGUGGCUUGAUAGGCCGGUUGUGAAAGCCCCGGGCUCAACCUGGGAACGGCAUCCGGAACUGUCAAGCUAGAGUGCAGGAGAGGAAGGUAGAAUUCCCGGUGUAGCGGUGAAAUGCGUAGAGAUCGGGAGGAAUACCAGUGGCGAAGGCGGCCUUCUGGACUGACACUGACACUGAGGUGCGAAAGCGUGGGUAGCAAACAGGAUUAGAUACCCUAGUAGUC
rnacentral:rRNA from 1 species